rnacentral:rRNA from 1 species
AUGUCCGAUUUGAGACUUGCACAUUCCUUGUUUGCCAUGUCGCCGACCCAUGGGAACCCGGUAACCUGGAUCACCCCACCGUCCUUGCAUGACUCGCUCCGCACACUUGUUCUUGUGCGUUGGUAUCUCAGUGAGUUGUUGAAUCAUCGGAAUGUUGCCGUGGCACCAUUUCCAUUGUCGCCGCCAUGGCACCCCUUUCAAUCCGUCAUGGUGACCAAAUACUUCAUGUCAUGCUCAUGUCAACUUUUUGUUAAAAAUUGCAUAAAACUUGUAUAUGUCAUCCGCAUCAUGAUAACAACAUUCAAAAAUGGUUAA